rnacentral:pre_miRNA from 1 species
AUAGUACUCCUCCGUCCGGAAUUACUUGUCGCAAAAAUGAAUAAAAAUGGAUGUAUCUAGAACUAAAAUGCAUCUAGAUACAUCCAUUCCUCCGACAAGUAUUUCCGGAUGGAGGGAGUACAAU